AGAGUUUGAUCAUGGCUCAGAUUGAACGCUGGCGGCAGGCUUAACACAUGCAAGUCGAGCGGAGCGAGGGUGCUUGCACCUUAGCUUAGCGGCGGACGGGUGAGUAAUGCUUAGGAAUCUGCCUAUUAGUGGGGGACAACAUUCCGAAAGGGAUGCUAAUACCGCAUACGCCCUACGGGGGAAAGCAGGGGAUCUUCGGACCUUGCACUAAUAGAUGAGCCUAAGUCGGAUUAGCUAGUUGGUGGGGUGAAGGCCUACCAAGGCGACGAUCUGUAGCGGGUCUGAGAGGAUGAUCCGCCACACUGGGACUGAGACACGGCCCAGACUCCUACGGGAGGCAGCAGUGGGGAAUAUUGGACAAUGGGGGGAACCCUGAUCCAGCCAUGCCGCGUGUGUGAAGAAGGCCUUUUGGUUGUAAAGCACUUCAAGCGAGGAGGAGGCGCUCUAGGAUAAUACCCUAGAUGCGUGGACGUUACUCGCAGAAUAAGCACCGGCUAACUCUGUGCCAGCAGCCGCGGUAAUACAGAGGGUGCGAGCGUUAAUCGGAUUUACUGGGCGUAAAGCGCGCGUAGGUGGCUAAUUAAGUCAAAUGUGAAAUCCCCGAGCUUAACUUGGGAAUUGCAUUCGAUACUGGUUAGCUAGAGUAUGGGAGAGGAUGGUAGAAUUCCAGGUGUAGCGGUGAAAUGCGUAGAGAUCUGGAG
rnacentral:rRNA from 1 species